rnacentral:rRNA from 1 species
GACAGAGGGUGCAAACGUUGUUCGGAAUUACUGGGCGUAAAGCGCACGUAGGUGGUUUGCUAAGUCAGCUGUGAAAUCCCCGGGCUUAACCUGGGCACUGCAGUUGAAACUGGCAAGCUAGAGUAGGGUAGAGGGGUGUGGAAUUCCAGGUGUAGCGGUGAAAUGCGUAGAUAUCUGGAGGAACAUCAGUGGCGAAGGCGACACCCUGGACUCAUACUGACACUGAGGUGCGAAAGCGUGGGGAGCAAACAGG